GUCUCUGUAGUGCAAUGGAUAGUGCGUUGGAUUUCUAGUCCAAAGGUUGUGGAUUCGAAUCCCACCUGGGAUU